GUCCACGCCGUAAACUAUGGACACUAGGUGUGGGGGGUAUCGACCCCCUCCGUGCCGAAGCUAACGCAAUAAGUGUCCCGCCUGGGGAGUACGGCCGCAAGGCUAAAACUCAAAGGAAUUGACGGGGGCCCGCACAAGCAGCGGAGCGUGCGGUUUAAUUCGUCGCAACGCGAAGAACCUUACCAAGGCUUGACAUGCUGGUAGUACCGAUCCGAAAGGUGAGGGACCCUUCGGGGAGCCAGCACAGGUGCUGCAUGGCUGUCGU
rnacentral:rRNA from 1 species